CCUACGGGAGGCAGCAGUGGGGAAUAUUGGGCAAUGGAGGCAACUCUGACCCAGCAACGCCGCGUGAGCGAUGAAGGUCUUCGGAUUGUAAAGCUCUUUAAGCGGGGACGAAGAAAGUGACUGUACCCGCAGAAUAAGCCUCGGCUAACUACGUGCCAGCAGCCGCGGUAAUACGUAGGAGGCAAGCGUUAUCCGGAAUGACUGGGCGUAAAGGGUGCGUAGGUGGUUUGGCAAGUUGGUAGCGUAAUCCCGGGGCUCAACCUCGGUGCUACUACCAAAACUGUUGAACUUGAGUGCAGGAGGGGUGAAUGGAAUUCCCAGUGUAGCGGUGGAAUGCGUAGAUAUUGGGAAGAACACCAGCGGCGAAGGCGAUUCACUGGACUGUAACUGACACUGAGGCACGAAAGCGUGGGGAGCAAACAGGAUUAGAUA
rnacentral:rRNA from 1 species